rnacentral:rRNA from 1 species
AGCCCUAAGUGGGUGGUAAACUCCAUCUAAGGCUAAAUAUGACCACGAGACCGAUAGCGAACAAGUACCGUGAGGGAAAGUUGAAAAGCACUUUGAAGAGAGAGUUCAAGAGUACGUGAAACCGUUUAGGGGUAAACCUGAGAAACCCGAAAGGUCGAAGGGAGAAAUUCAUUCGCGUUUCGUUGCGGGCGUCGGACGGUCGAGCGACGGAAAACGUUCGCGUUUUCCGCGCCCUCCGUCCUGACGAACCGGCGACGAACGCGUGCACUUUUCUCCUGGUAGGACGUCGCGAUCCGUUGGGCGUCGGUCUACGGCUCGCGGUGGAGCCCGUCCGUACGCUCGUACGGGCGGACCCGCGUGUCCCGGCUGACUCGCUCGACGGUAUACGAAUGGUUCGGGGCCGCUCUUUAGGAGCGUCCGGCUCGCGGCAAGCGCGCUAGACGCGUCGGCGAUCGGACCUGGUGCCGAUUCCGACCUCUGGUGACUGUUGGCCGCGAAGUUCUCGGACAGACCUCGCGACCG